GCUGAGUAUAAAAGCCAGAGAGCGAUGCCUUCGCUCACAGAUCCAAUCACAGACACAAUGACUAAGAUGCUGCUCUUGCUCCUACUGGUGACAGCAUGUGCUGUCAGUCCACAAGGUAAAGAACAGAUUUCUAUAUUUCCCAAAGCUGAUGCAGAUUAGAC